AUCCGACUGACGAGUCCUAAAUAGGACGAAACGCGCGUUCUGAAU
rnacentral:hammerhead_ribozyme from 1 species